rnacentral:rRNA from 1 species
UGCCUACGGGGGGCAGCAGUGAGGAAUAUUGGCCAAUGGGCGAGAGCCUGAACCAGCCAAGUCGCGUGAAGGAUGACGGCCCUACGGGUUGUAAACCUCUUUUGUCAGGGAGCAAAGGGCGCCACGUGUGGCGUUUUGCGAGUACCUGAAGAAAAAGCAUCGGCUAACUCCGUGCCAGCAGCCGCGGUAAUACGGAGGAUGCGAGCGUUAUCCGGAUUUAUUGGGUUUAAAGGGUGCGCAGGCGGAAUGUCAAGUCAGCGGUAAAAUUUCGGGGCUCAACCCCGUCGUGCCGUUGAAACUGGCGU